GGCAUUCCUAAAUGCCACAUUGGUUAAGGAGGUCUCCUUCUGUCACUAGUUUACUGUUUUGCCUGAAGUAGGCACUGGGAUUUGAAGUUCAAAGCCGAACGCAAGCCCUUGAACCAGAGCAGGUAGAAAGCACUUCUGCUUCCCGGAGCUCUGCUGUGGUCGGGGAUAUAAAUCCAGCCACCUUGGCUUCCUGGGUUCCAGGGGUGCGUGGGCAUUUCCUGGCACUCUGGCGGGAGGAGACCCCGCCCCCGUGAGCACGACCAGCCUGCACCUUUGCCUUUCGACCACGAGGGGGCGCGUAGGACACGCUGAAGCUGCGUCUGGAGGGCUAGGGAGGGGUUUCUGGAAGGACAAGCUCAUCCGAGGGUGUGCAGGCAGGCCAGGUGGGUCAUCUUGAAAAUGUUUCCUCCGAUGAGAAGCAGGAAGCUUGCAAGUGCUCCAGCAGUAGGGAUCAGGAGGGGUGGCUACUGCCCCCGGGUGCCCUCGGAGCCUUCAGCCCUCGCUCCCGCCCACAGCACAGUGAGGGGCUGGGCCAGGCUGCUGUGCUUCACCCGGCAGGAGUAGGAGCCAGAGCCGGAGCGGGAGGCUCUGUCCUGCGGGGAAACUGACAUCACCACCCAGGACUGGGAAACUUUGCGAAGAUCAGGCAAGGCCGAGGGUUCCCAGGAGCCUCCCCGUUGGAUCGUGGAAUGACCACAACAGCCCACGGGCUCCCCUGUCCCUCCACCGUGUAUUGACAUCUGAUGGCAAGAAAUUGUGACUACCCCCCCAUACAUUUUUCUAUUUUUUCCCAAACUUCUGAGUGAGCUUUGGGGCUCCCUCCUCCCCCAUUCUCAGCUCGGUGUCUUAAUUCUGCCUGUGGCUCUCUCCGUCAGACCCAUGCCUGCUCUGUCCCACAGGACCCUCGUUCUCACUGUUUCCCAAACCGAAGUCUCAGCUUGGGACAACCAGGCUCUGACAGGCAGGCAUUUCCCACACCUGCCUUCAGCCACUGCCCAGCCGGGAGGCAUCAUCCGAGAGACACCACCUGGGCCUGAGAUGCUCCCCAGGCUCCCAGCCUGAGAUCACCUUGGUCUUUCUCAGCUCAGCACGGGGGGAGCAGGACCUAGGAAGCGGGGGGUACCUUGUCGGUCCAGGUGGAUCUUGCUGAACUGCAGGUAACUCCGCAGCAUCGCUGGGCACUCCUCCUCCAGAUAGGCCUUGGCCCGCAGCACGUAGACCUUUUCCGCCUCCCACUUCUGCUUGGUGUUCAGAGCGGCUGGGUCCUGGGGGACCCAGGCUGGGAUUUCUUUGUUGAACUCGAUGAAGUUCCUUCCAUCGUAGGCGUACCUCCAGAAUGCUCCACUGCUUUUGUUAUUCCGGAGCUCACAGCCAAACAUUCCCUGAAAGGUGUGAGCCCCUGCACCCGCCCCGGGCCCCCCAGGGAAGUCAGUCAGCCUGGCAUUGACUCCGUUUUAAUAACUUCGACUCCUACCCAGUUUGCAGAAACAACAGGAAGCGAGGUUUUGGAAAUCUCAGCAUGUGGUCCCUUUAUCUUGGCAAAUGGGUUAUGAGUCACACAUACAGCAGAAGAGGGAAAGGUGCUUUGGUUUGGUGUUUUAGGCCCGUCUGAGCUGCGAUGUAUCCUUCCCGGCUGGGGAGGGUCAGGGAUUGCAGACCAUGCACCGCGCUCCCAGCUUCCUGCCCCCCACCGUCCGGCAUCAUCUCAUCUAGUGAACGUCGAAUACACUGGGAGUUCUUAGGAACCUGACAGAACCACACUGAAGUGCCAUCUCCAAGUUAAAUAGAAAUUAUUCGGAGUUUUAUACAGAUUACCAAAUCUCUCCUUUUUCUCGCUGUUCUAAGUGGAGCUCAUGUUACCGCUUGAGUAAACAUGAUGUGAUCACGGCUCCCCUCUAUUCUGGGGCCUAAGAUCUUCAUUACGAAUCUCUGAAGCCCCCUCUCAGCCCAGUGAGCAACAAGUCUUGGAAACUGGCCUCCUCUGGGAGGGGGACACAACUGGCGGGGACCCGAUACUGAUUAGCGCUGUGGGCCCAGGCUCUGAUCCCAAGCUCCCUGGGCGCAAACGGCAGAUCUCUCUCCGCCCCGACCUGGCGUGAACUUGAGCGUUUACCCUCCCUGUGCUUUGGUCUUCUCGGCUUGGAAACAGCGACGGCCACAGUGCUGCUUUAGAGCGUUGCUGUGAGCGUUCCCAGUGUUGACGGCUGUGCCUGGCCCAUAGUAGGUGCUCAGGAAAUGUUAUUCUCACACCCUCCAUUCCUCUCUUUACCCUCUUUACUCAUAAUUACUUGCUUCAGCAUUUUUAUUCCAGCCCAUCAGAUGUCUGCUGGGUCCUUCCCGGGCACCCGGGUACCUCACCCUCUCCUACUUCUGAUGCACAGUGCGGGCCCUUUUCCUUACCAGGGCUUCCCCUUCCUUAUCCUUCAGAUGUCUGCGUACCUCUGGCCUCCUGUAGGAAACUCUCAGAUUCUACGUAGCUUCUUAGGCAUUUUUGUGCUCAGAAACCCAUCUUUCGACACUCACCCUAUGAUGAUUUAGCAUCAACAGUUCACCAGCCUGUGACUGGCUGACUUGGGACAUAGGGUUGGGGAUGGGGGGUUGGGGGGUGGGGAGGUCCCGGCUCCUCCUCCUCCUCCUAACACAAUUCCAGAUGAGCCCUCCCAAGUCCGCUCCUUAUGGACAGGAGGGUCUUUAGGAUUCCAUGUAACUCUAACAGUGUGUGGCUUUGAAUUCAGUCCCUACUAAGCUCCCAGUAUGGGCCACAGUUUGUGUGAGGCAGUUUCUCUCAAUCAUUCAACAUAUUUCAUUUGAGCAGGUUAUUAGUGGCUGUCCCAGGUGAUGGGACGAUUGGGGAGAUCAAGACCGACGAUGUUCUAGCUUUCAUGGAAUUUGCAUAGGUAAGUUUUGUGGAAUCUUUUGAAGGCUCCAAUUUCACAGAUUCAGACCAGAUAAUUAAGAACAUGUUCAUUGUCAAACAGCUAGUGACUGGCCGGGCCACCAUGUGAACCCAGGUCUGACGGACCCCAGGGUUAGCUCACUCUUCCCAACAUCCCUGGGCAAGGGAGCCUGAUGCCUUCUAAAGUAGGAUCAGCCUCAGACAGGUUGGGCUGUGCAGUUGAGAGGUGACGCAUGCCGGGAUGAGAGCUGACUCUGACAUCACUUCCUGUCAGAGCUGAGGCCUGGGAGUGAGGAUGGGAUGGGAUGGGGCAGGAGGAGAGCGGAUGCGCUGUGGGGUUGGGGGGAUGCAGAGUGUCUGCGUAUUUCUACCCUGCUCUCUGUUCCUCCUUCGGGAUGGGGAUUACUUCCAUCCUGCUGACCCCUUUCCACUCACCCCUGCAGGGCUGCCUCUUGAGCUAAGACCCUCCACCCCAGCAGUCCACGGUCCACUGACCUUCUGUAUCCUUGUAAUAGUCCAUGAUGUCCUUCAGGGUCACCAUGAAGAUGUCCUCCCUGGCCUUCUGAAGUUCACUCUCGUUCUCCCAGUCCUCUAUUCCUUCCAUCUGGCUCCAGGGGUACGAGGGUAUGGCCUUCCUAUCUUCACUGUCAUAGUGAAAGAAAUCCUGGUCAUUGAGGUAGGCCGUGGCCUGGAAGCUGAGGAAGCCGUCCCUGGGCUUGGACAGCCCAGUGUAGAAGAAGCUCAGAGAGUAAGGCCCUGAAAAAGAGGAGGACUUUGAGGUGUGGGGUCCAUGCAAGGGAUGCCCAAUGUGGGGCAGCAGAGGGCCAGGAAGGGGGCUGUGGCCACUGGUCCUCGUCCUCCCCAGCCCUCAGCCUCACCACUCUGGAGGCUCACCCAAGUGCAAAGGGCCCUACCUCUAUCCUGGGUAUGGUACUUCAGACACCAUUGUGUUUUCACUUCAUUGUUUCUUCUUGACACAUAAGAAGGUAAUAUUUCUCAGCCUCCUUGUAUGUAUUUUGGGAUCAUGCGACUGCAUUCUGGGGAUGUGAGUGGGAGUGAUGUCUUUCUUCUGGUCUGAGGCCCUAUUAACUGGUUUGUUCUGUCUUUCUUUUAUUUAUGUGAUGACUGUGGAGACCUCAGGAUGAAACCAGGAGUCCGAAGAUGCAAAUACCCCAGAUUCCUGAGUCACCCCAGGGAAGACAGGAACGUUGCCUUAUCUGUAUUCACUUUACACAAGCAAGAAAUAAACCACUUGUUGGGUUAAGCCACUAAAAACUUUGUUACUGGAGCACGACUUAAUCUAAGACAUAGAAUUCGAAUGUGUAGGAAGAAUUUACCAGAAAACUCAGGAGAUGACCUAGAAUGGAUUGGCACAGGACCUCGUGUAAAGCAGAUUACCCUUCACAGUGGGUGGGCCUCAUCCAAUCAGUUGAAGGCCACAAGAAAGAAGCCCAGUCCCCCAAAGAAGAAGGAAUUCUGCCUCCACACUGCCUUUGGACUCAAGAUGGUAACACUGACUCUUCUCCGGGUCUCCGGCCUGCAGAUUUCAAUUGUGCCAUCCAGUUCCUUAAAAUCAAUCUCUUUUCCUGUAUUUAUAUCUUGUCUGUUCUGUUUCUCUGGAGAACCCUGACUAAUACAGAUUUUGGUGUAGGGUGUGAUUAACAUUUUAAAAUAAAACAUGCAUCCUCAUA